GUGGGGAAUUUUGGACAAUGGGCGCAAGCCUGAUCCAGCAAUGCCGCGUGUGUGAAGAAGGCCUUCGGGUUGUAAAGCACUUUUGGCAGGAAAGAAAUAGUGCGUGCUAAUACCAUGCGCGAAUGACGGUACCUGCAGAAUAAGCACCGGCUAACUACGUGCCAGCAGCCGCGGUAAGACGUAGGGUGCAAGCGUUAAUCGGAAUUACUGGGCGUAAAGCGUGCGCAGGCGGUUUUGUAAGACAGGUGUGAAAGCCCCGGGCUCAACCUGGGAACUGCACUUGUGACUGCAAGGCUAGAGUGUGUCAGAGGGAGGUGGUAUUCCGCGUGUAGCAGUGAAAUGCGUAGAGAUGCGGAGGAACACCGAUGGCGAAGGCAGCCUCCUGGGAUAACACUGACGCUCAGGCACGAAAGCGUGGGGAGCAAACAGGAUUAGAAACCCUAGUAGUCC
rnacentral:rRNA from 1 species